rnacentral:lncRNA from 13 species
ACCAGACAUACUGAAUUACUGUGUUGUGUCUCUACAGCUGAACAACAUGAUGGAGGACCAGACAUACUGAAUUACUGUGUUGUUGUCUCUACAGCUGAACAACAUGAUGGAGGACCAGACAUACUGAAUUACUGUGUUGUUGUCUCUACAGCUGGACAACAUGAUGGAGGACCAGACAUACUGAAUUACUGUGUUGUUGUGUCUCUACAGCUGAACAACAUGACGGAGGACCAGACAUACUGAAUUACUGUGUUGUUGUCUCUACAGCUGAACAACAUGAUGGAGGACCAGACAUACUGAAUUACUGUGUUGUCUCUACAGCUGAACAACAUGAUGGAGGACCAGACAUACUGAAUUACUGUGGUGUUGUGUCUCUACAGCUGAACAACUCUUUCCAUGAUGGUCUUGUCAUCGAACCAUCCCAGAAGGCCAAGGCCUCUUCUGCACACAACAUGAUGCACACUAGUGUCAAUAAAACCCUGCAAUAAAACCCACUAAAUAUAAUUCUAGUGAAUCCCUUGUCCUUCCAGGUGUUACACCAUUAACAGCGAGUCAUAGGUGUUCUCUGAAACUGGUCCUGGAGAGAGCUACUGUGCUGUGCCUUCUGACGCAUGCUAACAUGCUCCCUUGUUCCUGAUCGUGUCCACGUUCUGAUUGUGCCCACAUUUUUAGACAGGUGUAGACGAUUAAAAAAAACACAUUGUGAUCUGAUUUGCGUGACCACAUGUAGGUAGCCAGGCACGCUUUAUGUCUUGAUAUUAAUCAAGUGUAAACACAUCUGGAUGGUAAAUUUAAAUCUUCAUUAUACUGGCCUCGAAAAUCAUUAACAGAUCGCAUACUAUUUAUGGUGCUUUCAAGACAACUGGGAACUCUAUAAAAAAAUAAAAAAAUAGGUCAAAUGAUGACAUCAUUGAGCUUCAGGUAGUAACAUCAGAGUUCUAGAAAGGUGCCAGAGUAUCCGACACGAAAGUCUGAGUUGGAUGACUGUUCAAAACGAUUUUCACAGUCGGAGCUCGUUUUUUGUGUGUCUUGAACGCACUGAAGUCGGAAGACAGACAUUUCCGAGUUCCCAGUUGUCUUGAAGGCACUGAAGUCGGACAUUUCCGAGUUCCCAGUUGUCUUGAAGGCACUGAAGUCGGACAUUUCCGAGUUCCCAGUUGUCUUGAAGGCACUGAAGUCGGACAUUUCCGAGUUCCCAGUUGUCUUGAAGGCACUGAAGUCGGACCUUUCCGAGUUCCCAGUUGUCUUGAAAGUGGCAUUAGUAGACUGUUAUGGGUAUUCGGACAGUAGGGGAGGGUUGGUUAGUCUGGUGACAGGCAGCCUCACUGCUGCUCCCUCCGUCCCCUCAGACUGACAAUCAGAUGCAGGCCAUCAGUCCAGUAAAUUAAAAUAAAACACAUGAUUAUGCUCAUUCAGCUGUGCCUCACAAUACAACAAACGAUGUAUUACCAGUGUGAUCAUAUACUUAAAAUGUUGAAAUGUCAUUUCAAAAUGGUCUGAGAAGAGCAACAUUGACAGGGCAAUUCAAGCAUAGCCAAUAUGCAGUGAUAAUGUAUUGGGCCUAAAGCCUACUGCAUUGGGCCUAAAGCCUACUGUAUUGGGCCUAAAGCCUACUGCAUUGGGCCUAAAGCCUACUGCAUUGGGCCUAAAGCCUACUGCAUUGGGCCUAAAGCCUACUGCAUUGGGCCUAAAGCCUACUGCAUUGGGCCUAAAGCCUACUGUACAAACCUCAUUGCUACCAGAACUGUUUUGAAUAGAUUAAUGU